rnacentral:rRNA from 1 species
GACGAACGCUGGCGGCGUGCUUAACACAUGCAAGUCGAACGGAAACGCGCUGCUCUUGUGGGGUGCUCGAGUGGCGAACGGGAGUGAUACAUGUGAGCAACCUGACCUUGACUUUGGGAUAACUCCAGGACACUGGGGCUAAUACCGGCUAGGAGCUCCUGCUGCAUGGUGGGGGUUGGACAGCUUCGGCGGUUGGGGAUGGACUCGCGGCUUACCAGCUUGUUGGUGGGGUAGUGGCCUAGCGGGGCUUUGACGGGUAGCCGGCAUGAGAGGGUGACCAGGCACAUGGGGACUGAGAGAGGGCCCAGAGGGCAACGUGGGGCAGCGGUGGGGAAUAUGGCACAGUGAGGGGGAGCGUGAUGCGGCAGCCCCGCGGGCGGGAUGACGGCCUUCGGGUGGUAAACCGCUUUCGGCUAAUACGAAGCGGGGGUGACGGUAAUGGGUGAAGAAGCACCGGCUAACUACGUG